rnacentral:tRNA from 1 species
GCGGGCGUAGUUCAGUGGUAGAACGUCUGCUUGCCAAGCAGAAGGUCGUGGGUUCAAGUCCCAUCGUCCGCUCCA